GUUAAGUUUAUUUUGAUGUUGCUCUAUUAAAGUUAAAACCACAAGCAAACAAUUCGCAAAGGCACAAACAACAUUUGGCGUAAAAAACUGUUCACGAAAUUAAGAUUGCCCUGUACACCAACCGCCACUUCGAAAAUAAAUCCAUCCCUGCGGAAAACGAAAGGCCCAUUCGCAAGGCGUCGCGGCAGCCUGACAAGAGUACCUAGGCCACAUCAGCAAAAAUUGAACGGCACUUUUUCGCUUCGUCUUCGCGAGUGGUAGCAUCGCCGCCAUCAUCAGGCGACAUCAACUAAAAGUGAAAAACUUUAGGCCACGAGGCGGAAUCACUUUGUGGCAGAGUAAUUGCCUUCGAGUUAGUGUGCUUUCGUCCGGAACGGUUACCUUUGCCAGCCAGAAGGUGUUCUCGAGGCGACGGCACUAAAUUCCGGAGUUCCUUCUGAGGAGAACGACUAAAGACUCCGAUGCAUGAAGUCUCCACUCGCCAGGAGUGUCAGAAGCCGUCUUAUAGAAGGUCAUGCAUCGAGAGCGGAUCACGUGGAAACGCAGAAACACUACAAUCGUCGGAACCCAGACACGAAACGGUUUAAGUAGUUGGUCAGCAACCAGAUAGACCGAAAAUACCCCAUCUAACGGGGUGUUUUUUGAAGGACUAACGUUUGGCUUGGCUGCGAUUUGGUCAGACUGUUAGCUUGCGUGACCGCUACUCCACCGGAUUACAGUUUCGUCGGAAAGGUUGUGCAUAUCUACCGGACGGGUAGAAGGAUAGGAUCACUUGACAGUCGCCGUCGGGUUGCGGAUCGGUUUUGUCGGGUCAGAAGCAGGACGAGAACGCUAAUGGUGCAAAAAUCUCGACGAGGGAAUCAGACGCCUCGGAGAGAUCCCAUCCAGCAACGCGGUCGCACUGGACGGCCAGAGGGGUCUCCAGCGGAGGACGUUCGUCGGACGAGUGGCGCGAUGGCACUGUGUGCGAGGCGGGCAAUCCCGGCGGCAUGUGAGCCGUCAGAAAGUUGGUAGGCCAGGGUGCACCCAAGAAGAAAAUUCGUGAGUACGCAUGAGGUUAGCUUGUAAGCAGAAGAUUUAGAGAACAUUAGGGAACAUUAGAUGACAGGAGCAAUAGAAGAAACAUCAAUGAGCUUCGAAUAUAUGUAUUGAUUGAG